AUACGUAGGGGGCGAGCGUUGUCCGGAAUGAUUGGGCGUAAAGGGCGCGUAGGCGGCCCGGUAAGUCUGGAGUGAAAGUCCUGUUUUUAAGAUGGGAAUUGCUUUGGAUACUGUCGGGCUUGAGUGCAGGAGAGGUAAGUGGAAUUCCCAGUGUAGCGGUGAAAUGCGUAGAGAUUGGGAGGAACACCAGUGGCGAAGGCGACUUACUGGACUGUAACUGACGCUGAGGCGCGAAAGUGUGGGGAGCAAACAGGAUUAGAUACCCUGGUAGUCCACACUGUAAACGAUGAGUGCUAGGUGUAGGGGGUAUCGACCCCUUCUGUGCCGCAGUCAACACAAUAAGCAUUCCGCCUGGGGAGUACGGCCGCAAGGUUGAAACUCAAAUGAAUUGACGGGG
rnacentral:rRNA from 1 species